GUUGGGACUUGAACACAUUUCUUCAGUUGAGACACAUGGAAGACAUCGUGUAUGGCCGAUAGCUGUUCUGGGAGUUGGAUCCGGUAAGCAACGGGUCCACAGAUCUCCACAAUCUCAUAAGGGCCAAUGUAGCGGGGAGCCAACUUUCCUUUCACUCCAAACCGUUGCACUCCUUUGGUCGGGGAGACUCGAAAAUACACAUGAUCACCAAUGUC
rnacentral:lncRNA from 1 species